rnacentral:rRNA from 1 species
CCUACGGGAGGCAGCAGUGAGGAAUAUUGGUCAAUGGCCGGAAGUCUGAACCAGCCAAGCCGCGUGAAGGACGAAGGUGCCAAGCAUUGUAAACUUCUUUUGUCAAGGGACAAAAUCAGGCUCGCGAGCCUGCCCGAGGGUACUUGACGAAAAAGCAUCGGCUAACUCCGUGCCAGCAGCCGCGGUAAUACGGAGGAUCCGAGCGUUAUCCGGAUUUAUUGGGUUUAAAGGGAGCGUAGGUGGAUUGUUAAGUCAGUUGUGAAAGUUUGCGGCUCAACCGUAAAAUUGCAGUUGAAACUGGCAGUCUGGAGUACAGUAGAGGUGGGCGGAAUUCGUGGUGUAGCGGUGAAAUGCUUAGAUAUCACGAAGAACUCCGAUUGCGAAGGCAGUUCACUGGACUGCAACUGACACUGAGGCUCGAAAGUGUGGGUAUCAAACAGGAUUAGAUACCCCAGUAGUC